CGGAUUAGCGGCGGACGGGUGAGCAACACGUGAGUAACUUGCCUUAGACAUUGGGAUAGCCUCGGGAAACCGGGAUUAAUACCAAAUAAAAUCAUAAUGACACAUGUCAUAACGAUCAAAACUCCGGUGGUCUAAGAUGGACUCGCGUCCCAUUAGCUAGUUGGUAGAGUAAAAGCCUACCAAGGCGACGAUGGGUAGCCGGCCUGAGAGGGUGAACGGCCACAUUGGAACUGAGAAACGGUCCAA
rnacentral:rRNA from 1 species